GGCAGUUCCGUCUGCGUUUUCUCGUAGCAGUUCCGUCUGUGUUUCAUUGUGGCAGUUCCGUCUGUGCUUUCUUCUGACAGUUUCGUCUGCACCCGUUCUAUUAGUUUAUGCAUUUUUUU